GAGAGUUCUGUUCGCGUGAUUUUGGCAACUGACAAAUAAAACUAUACGGAAUUAGUACGGAUACAACUUGCAUCUGGUCCAGAACAGUGGUUGAGUUAAUUUUUUCAGAAAAAUGUUACCAAGAACUGUCCUCGUGAUGUUCGCUUGCGCUGCCGUUAUUGGGAUGGUGGCCGAGGUCGUCAUCGCCGAUGAGGUUCCAUAUCCGCCAGGUCGUGGAAGCGUUCUUCAUCAGCUAUAUUCUCUCAAAGCCAAGGCUAUCAGAAAUGAAGCUCGGAAAGAUGGAGGCCUCCAAUAUCCGCCGUGUUACCCCAGCUGUGAUUUUUAGCAAAGAAAAGGACCGCAUAUCACGGUGAAGCCUGGGAUCGAUCAUUUUUUUCUUUAUUUUAUCGAGCAUGGAGCCUGUCUGAACCAACACGCUGUACUUCCAGAUGUGAAGGUCCAGGGGCGGAUCCAGGAUUUUUGAAAAAAUAAAGGGGGGGGGAUUUUCCCGAAAAAAAAUGACAAGCAAAAAGAAAAAGCAAAAAGAAAACCUUACUGGUGUAUGAAGUAUGAGCGGCAUAUUCCCAUUGGAAAUCUAGCA
rnacentral:lncRNA from 1 species